UGGCUCAGUUGGUAGAGCAUGGUGUUUGCAACGCCAGGGUUGUGGAUUCGAUUCCCAU
rnacentral:tRNA from 1 species